GAUGAACGCUGGCGGCGUGCCUAAUACAUGCAAGUCGAGCGAACGGACUAUAUUCUUUCUUCUCUUAUGUUUUCGGCUGACGUGUGUUUAACUCGUGUUUAACCUACCUUUUUUUCUGGUAUAACUUCGUGAAACCUUUUCUAAUACCGGAUAAUAUUUUGAACCUCAUUGUUCAAUAGUUAUUUUCGUUCUUUCUUUCUCUUAUAGAUGUAUCCGCGCUGCAUUAGCUAGUUGGUAAGGUAACGGCUUACCAAGGGAACGAUGCAUAUCCGACGUGAUAGGGAGAUCGGAGACACAGGAACUGAGACACGGAACAGAGUACUACGGGAGGCAGCAGUAGGGAAUAGUCCGCAAUGGGCGAAAGAAUGACGGAGAAAAGCGGCGUGAGUGAUGAAGGAAUUGGGAUCGGAAAAAACUGUUAUGAGGGAAGAAAAAAAGUGUAAGAAAAUGAGAAGAUAAUGACGGUAACAAAAAAGAAAGCAACGGCUAACUACGUG
rnacentral:rRNA from 1 species